rnacentral:rRNA from 1 species
UACGAAGGGGGCUAGCGUUGCUCGGAAUCACUGGGCGUAAAGGGUGCGUAGGCGGGUCUUUAAGUCAGGGGUGAAAUCCUGGAGCUCAACUCCAGAACUGCCUUCGAUACUGGAAGACUUGAGUCCGGGAGAGGUGAGUGGAGCUGCGAGUGUAGAGGUGAAAUUCGUAGAUAUUCGCAAGAACACCAGUGGCGAAGGCGGCUCACUGGCCCGGUACUGACGCUGAGGUGCGAAAGCGUGGGGAGCAAACAGG